rnacentral:misc_RNA from 1 species
GGAGGGUAUCGUGGUCGCUGACGGGGAAUAUACUUGCGGUGGCGGAUGGGAAGAAUAAUGUGACGCUUUGGAAGGAGGCGGUUGAUGGGGAGUGGCAGCAGGUGACGACGGUGGAGCCGUAGAGAUUCAGGUUCGUGCUUGGGCGCUAUUUGCUGCUUUUCAAUGUUUGCUGAUAUGAUUUUUUUGUUUUUGUUUUUUAGAACUUUUGAAUUUAUCUGUUGGGGAGU